rnacentral:rRNA from 1 species
UACGUAGGGGGCGAGCGUUGUCCGGAUUUACUGGGCGUAAAGAGCGCGUAGGCGGCUUGGAGAGUCGGCUGUGAAAUCUCUGGGCUCAACCCAGAGGGGUCGGCCGAGACCUUCGGGCUCGAGGGUGGUAGAGGAAGGUGGAAUUCCGGGUGUAGUGGUGAAAUGCGUAGAGAUCCGGAGGAACACCAGUGGCGAAGGCGGCCUUCUGGGCCACACCUGACGCUGAGGCGCGAAAGCGUGGGGAGCGAAC